ensembl:lncRNA
CGAUCGAGAGCUUUAUUCUGCUGGAGAGAAUCCGACCCAGAUGUUAAACAAAUAAAUACAGGAGACAUCUGGCUGCAAAAAAAAAAAGAGUUCAGUUUUACAGAUCAAAACCAAGAAACAUAAGAGAAGAACACCAGUGGCAUGACUUUUCUUAUUCAACUUGAAGGAUCUCUGUAUAAAUGAAAGGACUCUUCAUUGUCUCAAUAUACAAACAUGUCAGAGUUGUACCCCAUCGAGGGAUGGUCUCGAUGACACAAGUGCAUUCUGGGUCGACACAUCUGCACGUGCAUGGACAUUGUGAUGAGCUCAUCUGUUCUGUGCGCAGAGGAUGGUCUCGUUCAAAUGUACAGCACACACACACACACACACAAUGUCAUUGUAUUAAUACAAGGCACAACUGGAUGAGGCCUCUGCUUCUUACUGGAAACAAGUAUAUAAAGUCAGGCUUUUAUUUUAUCAGCAUUACAAAUGUUCUAAAGAAAUCAUCCAGCAUCAGAUUCAAACAAGGACAAACUACGCAAAGGUUCUUUGAUUGGAUUCGCUCGCAUGCUCCAAACACAGCAGGACUUCAAAUAUUUGAUUUUUGGUAUUCAUUAAAACAAAUGUCCAUCACUUACUUCCACUUCAUCAACCUCUCUUUUACACACUUUAAUGCAACAUAUUCAAGAUCCAAAUUAUAUCAUAAGCUGUUGCGUGAUUCCACAGACGAGAGACACGCAGAGCAGAAGUGAAAACCAAGAGGUCUUCAGGAUGUUUGCAUGUUCUUCACAGAAAAUUAAAUGAAAAAUCACUCUUCUCAUUUCUUGGCAAUACAGAAUAUAUAAACGCCAGGCCGGUAAAUAUCAAAGUUAAAAUGCUAAAAUAGGCUUUUAUUUGUAUUAAUUUACAGUUCAUGUCAGUGAUUCCACAGCUCAUUGAUAAUUCUAGAAUGUUGACCUGGGCUCUGUCAGCAUCUCAAUACCAGUUGUUGGACUACAGAGACGAGCAGAUUUUUGGUUCGGGACUCCAUUGUCUUUAUUGCCAGAGGGGUGGGAGGAUUUAAAGGGUGAAAGGCCUCUUAUUUAAACCCCUCCCAAGAGCUUUCUGACACGAUCCCUCUGCUCAUUCUGCUGAUUCCAGCCAACUUGACUUUGGCGCGCGCCGUCCACCGGACGGCAGCUGUUGAAUCCUUGGAGUCCGACAGGUUAGCGUAGCGGGAGGAGUCCUCCUCCAGACCUUGGCCCGCCCAGGCGGCCGGUACAGAGUCGGGGAAGGACACUGGCGAGUCCCCUUUGCGGCUCUUCUCCUCCUCGGCUUCGUCGGUCCCGGUCUCGGUUGAGUUCCCCGGAUGUGGAGGCUCCCAGCCCUCGAUUUUCUCCAGCUUCUUGGUGGGCGAGAUCUGCCUCAUUGUCAUGGACGAGGGAGUAAACCGCGCUGCGUUGGCGGGUUAAACUGGCAGCUCAUUCUCGUCCGGCGGAGGAGAAAACGGAAAAUGUCGACUCUAAUGUCAACCUGAAAAAAAAAAAAUCCAGGCAUUGCGGGAUCGUCCUUCUGCACGUUAAAGUGGGGACGCGGAGGCAGGUGACGGCAGCGUCAUUGCGUGUGUAAUCUCACCCUCUGCGGUCGGUCAGCUUUACUCCGGUCAACAAGAAGUGCUCGUCGUCUUUAGAGGAGAACAUCUUCUUCUCCCGCCUCUCUUUCUUGGACAUGAUCUUCUUCCCCUUCGCCUCCUGAAAGAAGUCAAAAGAUAAGAGAUGAUUGAUAUCAGAGAGAGAUAAGUGCAGAGGGAGAGGGGCAUUGAGUUGGCAAUAACACGCGGCACAUUCCAGUGAAAGACCCUCCACCUUCUCUUAAAACUCCCCCGGUCUCCCCCGUCACAUCGGAAUUCCUCCCUUCCCUUUGCCUCUCUCCACCAAGCACAGACACCGCCCUCCUCAGCCAUCAUAGAACAAACUCUUGGCUCUGUUUCCCUCCUGGGAAGAAUUCCCAAUGUCAACCGCCGUCAAGGCCGCGACGUUCACUCG